AUAUUUCCGGUAUUUUGAACCUGGGGUKGUAAAAGGGUACGCAGGCGGUUAUUUAAAGUAUWAAAAAAAAAAYUAUAUCUUUUUUUAUAAUACUAUAUGACUAGAGUUAAAAAAGGGGGAUGGCGGUACCUCCAGUUUAGAAGUGACAUUUCGUUUGAGAUUGGGGGGACCAACAAUAGGCGAUGGCUGCUUUCCCAUUUUUAUACUGACGCUGAGGUACGAAAGCAUGGGGAGCGAACAGGAUUAGAGACCCUGGUAGUCCAUGCCCUGACCUAUGAAUAUUAAUCGUCCAUUUAGAUAGUGGAUGACUAAGCUAACGCGAAAAUAUUCCACCUGAGGACUACGGCCGCAAGGUUAAAACUCAAAGAAAUUGGCGGAAGAUCGUUUAAGCGGUGGAGUAUGUGGUUUAAUUCGAUAAUACGCGAAAAACCUUACCAAUCUUUGUGCACAUUUUCGGUUCUACAAAACUUGUAGCCCAAAUUGAGGUGGUCAAUUUGGGCUAGCUAUGUGCCAGGCGUUGCAUGGCUGUCGUAAGCUCGUGUCUUAGGAUGUGUGGUUAACUCCAUGAACGGGCGCAACCCUUGUUCCUAGUUAGAUUAGGAAUGAAAACAGUGAAAACUGCUUUUGAGGAUGAGGAGUAUGUCAAGUCAAUAUGACCUUUAUAGAUUGGGCUACACACGUACUACAACGGUAGCUACAAUGAGAAACAAUGCCGUGAGGCGGAGUAAAUCUCUAAAACCUACCCUAGUUCGGAUUAUUUUUUGAAAUAAAAAUAUGAAGCCGGAAUCGCUAGUAAUCGCAAAAAAGAAUGUUGCGGUGAAUAUUAAGACCGAUCUUAGUACACACCGCCCGUCACGCC
rnacentral:rRNA from 1 species